CCUACGGGUGGCAGCAGUGGGGAAUAUUGCACAAUGGGGGAAACCCUGAUGCAGCGACGCCGCGUGAGUGAAGAAGUAUUUCGGUAUAUAAAGCUCUAUCAGCAGGGAAGAAAAUGACGGUACCUGAUUAAGAAGCCACGGCUAACUACGUGCCAGCAGCCGCGGUAAUACGUAGGGGGCAAGCGUUAGACGGAUUUACGGGGUGGAAAGGGAGCGUAGACGGCUGCACAAGUCUGGAGUGAAAUGCCGGGGCUUAACCCCGGAACUGCUUUGGAAACUGGGCAGCUAGAGUGCAGUAGAGGUAAGUGGAAUUCCUAGUGUAGCGGUGAAAUGCGUAGAUAUUAGGAGGAACACCAGUGGCGAAGGCGGCUUACUGGACUGUAACUGACGUUGAGGCUCGAAAGCGUGGGGAGCAAACAGGAUUAGAUACCCUUGUAGUC
rnacentral:rRNA from 1 species